UACGGGGGGGGUAAGCGUUGUUCGGAAUUACUGGGCGUAAAGGGCUCGUAGGCGGCCAACUAAGUCAUACGUGAAAUCCCUCAGCUUAACUGGGGAACUGCGUGUGAUACUGGAUGGCUUGGAUUUGGGAGAGGGAUGCGGAAUUCCAGGUGUAGCGGUGAAAUGCGUAGAUAUCUGGAGGAACACCGGUGGCGAAGGCGGCAUCCUGGACCGACACUGACGCUGAGGCGCGAAAGCUAGGGUAGCAAACGGG
rnacentral:rRNA from 1 species